CUUAUGGAUGUGGCCAAGUGCCCA
rnacentral:antisense_RNA from 1 species